GCCUGAUGCAGCAACGCCGCGUGAGGGACGACGGCCUUCGGGUUGUAACCUCUUUUAGCAGGGAGAAGCGAAAGUGACGGUACCUGCAGAAAAAGCGCCGGCUAACUACGUGCCAGCAGCCGCGGUAAUACGUAGGGCGCAAGCGUUAUCCGGAAUUAUUGGGCGUAAAGAGCUCGUAGGCGGUUUGUCGCGUCUGCUGUGAAAUCCCGAGGCUCAACCUCGGGUCUGCAGUGGGUACGGGCAGACUAGAGUGCGGUAGGGGAGAUUGGAAUUCCUGGUGUAGCGGUGGAAUGCGCAGAUAUCAGGAGGAACACCGAUGGCGAAGGCAGAUCUCUGGGCCGUAACUGACGCUGAGGAGCGAAAGGGUGGGGAGCAAACAGGCUUAGAUACCCUGGUAGUCCACCCCGUAAACGUUGGGAACUAGUUGUGGGGUCCAUUCCACGGAUUCCGUGACGCAGCUAACGCAUUAAGUUCCCCGCCUGGGGAGUACGGCCGCAAGGCUAAAACUCAAAGGAAUUGACGGGGACCCGCACAAGCGGCGGAGCAUGCGGAUUAAUUCGAUGCAACGCGAAGAACCUUACCAAGGCUUGACAUAUACGAGAACGGGCCAGAAAUGGUCAACUCUUUGGACACUCGUAAACAGGUGGUGCAUGGUUGUCGUCAGCUCGUGUCGUGAGAUGUUGGGUUAAGUCCCGCAACGAGCGCAACCCUCGUUCUAUGUUGCCAGCACGUAAUGGUGGGAACUCAUGGGAUACUGCCGGGGUCAACUCGGAGGAAGGUGGGGAUGACGUCAAAUCAUCAUGCCCCUUAUGUCUUGGGCUUCACGCNUGCUACAAUGGCCGGUACAAAGGGCUGCAAUACCGUAAGGUGGAGCGAAUCCCAAAAAGCCGGUCCCAGUUCGGAUUGAGGUCUGCAACUCGACCUCAUGAAGUCGGAGUCGCUAGUAAUCGCAGAUCAGCAACGCUGCGGUGAAUACGUUCCCGGGUCUUGUACACACCGCCCGUCAAGUCAUGAAAGUCGGUAACACCUGAAGCCGGUGGCCCAACCCUU
rnacentral:rRNA from 1 species